rnacentral:ncRNA from 1 species
NGUUUACCAAAAACACAGGUCUCCGCAAAGUCGUANNNNNAUGUAUGGGGGCUGACGCCUGCCCCGCGCCGGAAGGUCAAGGAAGAUGGUGAACUGAUGAGAGGGAAGCCGGCGACCGAAGCCCCGGUGAACGGCGGCCGUAACUAUAACGG